CGCUCCUUUCUGACGUUCUUCUUCUCUUCCUUUUCUCCUUCUCUGCGUCGUUUCUCUCUAGGGUUUCGAAAUUGACAGAGAGGGCGAGACAGUGAUGGUGUGAGACCAAUUUGAGAGAGAGGCACAUGCGUUUCUAUGUUGGAGCCACUCUAACGUUUGUUUUCCUUGCCGUCUCCAACGUCGUUUCGCAGUUCUGCUUCUGAGCUAUCGAAUUUGAGGAACUUUGUGUAAGAUUACACCACGCUGCUUUGUUUUGGCCAGUGAAGGAAGUGUCUUUUCAGAAAAGAGAGAAAGACAUGUAUGUGAUGAGGGACUGCUCACGGUUAACAUGUGUAUUGAGUAGCCUAUUCAAUUUGUGUUAGGAGGGGCAGCUAUACAUAUACGUGGUCCUCAUCUUUGAGACAACAACUCCAGGAAUCAAUUUGAGAUGGGUUGGAGGUGGAAUUGAGGGUUGGUGAUGAAGAAGAUGAUAGUGAGCCUUCGGUGUAUGGAUUGUUGAGGAAGUAACUGUCUCCGUGCUUUGAAGAGGAAAUGAAGCUAUAUUAAAUUGGACCUUUUUAACAUAGUUUAGUCAGACAAAGGGUGCAUUUUUCUCAAGAAUAAGGUUCGUUUUCAGGCAGAAUCUUCACAGUCCCUUUCUUCGACACCGGCAGUUAGAACUAAGAACCAAACGAUUUUCGCCAUUUUUUGCCUGUUCAGUUCGCCAAUAUCAUUUCACCACCACUUAUUUUUCAUUUUACAAUUCAGAGUUUGAAUGAAUGAUGAGCUCCGUUUUUCCACCAGUUUCCAAACCUGGUGAGUAAAUCCUGCCUUCUGUUUUGUGGUUUUACAAAUUUUUACAUUUGUAAGUUUUCUUUCUCUGUUCUAUAUUUUGGUAUAUUUUUUGGGUUGAUUGUCAUUGUGAUUUUGGAUUUUUUAGAUGGCUUUUUUUAAAAGAUGACUUUGAUACUAAUAUAGACAUGGUUUUUGUACCACAAAAAAAACUAGACAUGGUUUUUUUGGUCUAGAAUGCACUCUUUGCGCUUUUGAUUGUCCUUUUGUAAUAAAUGAGAGGUUUAAUGCUAUAGAAACCGUUUUAGGGAAAAUGGUAAUAUAUUGAUGAAGGUAUGAAAAACGGUAGAAAGGGGGGGUUUGAAUAACGUUUUCAGUAUAAAACUUCCACCUUAAAGAUUUUGACAAAUCUUUCGAGAACUUAAGUGCUAAAGAUAAGAGAUAGAAAAACACACAAGGAUUUUAUCCUGGUUCACUUGAUAAAUCACUCAAGCUACUCCAGUCCACCCGUUAAGGUGAUUUCUUCCUUCUUAGAAUGAAGGCAAUCCGCUAAUCAGGUAAGAGUUACAACUGCACUUGAAACCUGUAAGAUCAAGUUUUGAUCUAGUAGUACAACUCUAUGUUUUGAUGAUUACAAGUUAACCUUUUGAUAUGAACAAUUGUGGUACUCUAACGUGUUUUUCUGAGUGUGCUAUUUACAGGCUCUGACCUCAACUCAAUCUCACACAGAUCAGAAGCACUGUGCUUAAAGAGUGACCCAAGCAACGCUUUCGCAUUCACCAUGUUCAGUAUGAACAGUGGAAAAGCUUCAGAAGUUCUGAAGUUAUACAAACUCUGAUGUGGACUCAGUCACUAGAAGCUCUGAAGAUCCAGAAGUUCUGAUAACCAAGAAACACUGAAGGUUCAGAUGUUCUGAUGGUGUAGAAGACUCUGAAGUUGCAGAAGCUGAAUAGUGGAAACUCUGAAGUCCGGAAGCAAGAAACUUUGAAGGCCAUGUUCUUCCCUCUGAGUUCAGAAUCAGAAGAAACAAUGGUCAGAGGAUCUGAGCUUUCCCUCUGACUCUGAUCAACCGGCUUCACAAGUUCCAAUAUGAAGCAUUCCCCUGAUCAGAAGUCUUCUAGGUUUAAAGGUCAAGUCGCUAUCCAAGUACAAAAUCAACUGUACCUUCCUGACGACCUACCUAACAGUCUCAGACACAGCAGAAGCUGGAUUUUCCAGAACUGCCCUCCAACGGUAGCAUUUCCCAUGCAACGCUCAACCCUAAUCCUUGGAGUAUAUAAAGAGGCUGAAGACUGAAAGAAACGGCUAGAAGCAUUCACAUACGCGCAAGACAAACUUAAAUUCUUCUAAGCUUUCUUUCAUCUGAAAAUUCAUUGAGUUUACUAUUAGCUUUUUAGAAGCAAAUCUCUUGUAAACAAUUCUUUGAUAAACAGUUUGUUUAGUUCCUUUAGGAGAUCAAGGCUGAUCGGAUCCUAGAGAAGACUAAGAGAGUGAAUCUUAGUGUGAGCUAAGUCAGUGUAAUUGUUAGUCACUUGUAGGUUUCAAGUGCAGUUGUAACUCUUACCUGAUUAGUGGAUUGCCUUCAUUCUAAGAAGGAAGAAA